rnacentral:lncRNA from 1 species
AGUAUGCUGGUGAGCCACGUACAGUCCAGCAUAGAAUCCUGCUUAUUCGUUUAACAGAUGGUUGUUGGUCCAGGCCUGUGCCUAGGACCCCUUUUCUAGUGUUUCUUUUCCCUAACCCCUCCCCCACCGUUCUCUCAUUUGUAUUCUCUCUCUCUCCCUCUCUCUCUCUCUCACCCCCCCCUCUCUCUCUUCACCCUCCUCUUCUUUCUCAUCCUCCCCCUCCUCCCCACCACUUCUUUUCCCUCCCCUUUCUUUCCCUCCCAGGGCUCAAACCAAGGGAACCAAAGACAAGCACUCUGCUGCUGAGUUACAUGGCCAAUCCCGCCUGUGUUUCUUGUACAUAUCCUAAUUGCAUGCAACUAUUAAAUAACAUUUUCAGCUCUCUUAUGAAACUUGUAUUAGCACAGAAAUAGAAUUUCUAUUAGACACUUAUGUUAGAACUCACAUUAAAAUAGAAUCUUUGCACUUGUAAGCUGUUUUCCAAUGUACUGAAUACAUUCAUGUGUGUGCGCAUGUGUCUAUGUAUUUCCCCUCUUGGAGAUGGGGUCCUUGCUGUUUUGAAACUGAUCUAGAGCUCAGUGAUUGAAGUGCUCUUCCUCCCUUAGCCCUUUGAGUAGCCAGGACGAAAGGCAGGCACCGUCAUGCCUGGCUUUAUUUUCAUAUAUGAGUCAUCAGUCAUCUUGCAAGGCCAUGACUAAGGACUUGGUCCAAUUCUCCUUUGGCAGGUUUGGAAUAAUAGAGCCAGAGAAGUUACUUCAUUUUUUAAAAUUAAUUAUUUUAUUUAUUUACAUCCAAAAUGUUUUCCCCCAUCCAGGUCCUCCUGCCCGAGUUCUUCACCCUAUCCUCCCUCCUUUUCACCUCUGAGAAGUUUCCUUACCCCCACCUCAGGCAUCCCUCUUUUCUAGGGCAUCAAGUCUCUACAGAAUUAGGCGCGUCCUCUCCCUCUGAGGCUAGACAAGGCAGUAGUCAGUCCUCUGUUACAUAUGGGCCUGGGGCCUUGGACCAGCCCCUGUAUGCUCUUUGGUCUUCCUGUGAGGCUGCCAUCCCCUUCAGCUCCUUCAAUCCUGCCCCUAACUCUUCCAUAGGGGGUCCAGUGGUUGGCUGUGAGUAUCUACAUCUAUUCUGUUUUAGUUUUGUAGAGUUGCCCAUUUGACGAAUUCCAGGGGUCAAAACCCAAGAUAGAUAUGCUAAGGAUUCCAGCGGAACCGAUUAGAUUUUUUUCCAUCAAGUUAAUACUGAGUAUUUAUUGUUAUAGCUCUGACCAGGAAAUAAAGGAAGGUACUUACUCACUGAUACCUGGUUUGGGGAAGCCUGUGUCAUAAGGCCUGGCUGUAGUACUAUCUGAGAUGGUGGAAUAGCUGUGUGGCUCACCACCCUGAAUAAUUACAGUUAACAUUUAUUGCCAGUAAUUGAGCAGAUUCGAUCCAUUUAAUGACAUGUAAUGAUUGUUCAGUCUGUAGCGUCUCUCAUUCAAAGGUCUGCCCCAGUGUACUGUGUAAAUUGUUUACGGUCUUUAUAGAUGAUCAGGACACUAGGCUGAGGUAAUAGUUGAUUCUGUCUAAAAUACAGUUGGCCCCUGAACACAUAUUUAUUGGCUAGCUCCACGGGGAUUUCCUCACUGUUUUUAAAAAUAUCCAUUUUUCAAAGAGUUACUUAGUUUCAUUUUACGCAGAUGAAAUUCUCUUUGCCUGUGUAUCUGCGGGCCCCAUCUAUGCCUGGUGGCAAUGGAAACAAGGAGAGGCUGCCGUAGCCGUGAAGUCGGGGUUGGCCUGGUUGUGAGCCAACAGGUGAGCAAUGAGAAGAGGCUCGAGUUCUCUAGUGGAGCAGUCAGACCUCUUGACUGCUGAGCCGUCGCUCCAUCCAUCGUAGCAAUGUGAUUUUUUGUUCGGAUUUUUGGUUUUUUUUUUUUUUUUUUUUUGGUUUUUUUGAGACAGGGUUUCUCUGUAUAGUUCUGACUGUCCUGGAACUCACUCUGUAGACCAGGCUGGCCUCGAACUCAGAAAUACGCCUGCCUCUGCCUCCUGAGUGCUGGGAUUAAAGGCGUGCGCCACCACGCCCAGCUAGAAGGCUGAGUCCUUAAGACAGAAGAAGCUGUAGAGCCAAGAGGUGACCCCUGAGAACAGAAGAACAGGAGGUCAGUCACCAGACCUAAAGGAGUCCCUUCACUUGCAGGUGACAUAGAUGCGGGGAAAGUGUCAGGUUGGGACAAUAAGGAAGUAGUCACAGACUAAAGAGUGCUUCUGUCAGGCAAAGCAUGGGAAACAAUACUGUAGCUAAGAAGUGGGGUUUCAGAUUGUGAUGCUAAGAGCAUGACACACACAGUGACUGGCAAGGAAGGGGGUGGUAAAUGAGAAGUCUUAUGUAGGGCACAAUUAAAGGGAUGGGGACUAAAUAAGGAUGGAAAUGUUAUUUUCAAGCUAUCAAUACAACUUGAGAAUAUCUUUGUACAUAGGAAGAAAAUAUUCAAUGGAUAAAGAAAGAGUAAAGAGCGAUGCAAUCAGUUUGUCUUAGUAGGAUGAAAGACACUAUCCGUGUUCCUUUCUUACAAAUGUCAUUCCCAUCGCUCAGUGUACGCCUCACAUCCUUAGAAAUAAGUCACAGAAAAUGUCUCUUAAUGUGACACGUCAUGUCAAUGAGAUCUUCGCAUCUGGAUCUCGCUCCUACUUAUAUUUUCUUUCAGUCAUCGACAAGUCAUUGAGAAAGAGGUAUGCCUUUCCAUAUUGCUUGGCACCAAAGAGACCUGUACAGCAUCAAUGAAAGGUUGAUGGAUUAACGUGACCCC